CUACGGGGCGCAACCACAGUACCAAAAUGCGCGCCAAAAGUGGCACCAACUAAUUGGUGCGGUGAAGUUUUGGUAGAGAAAACAACACACGUAUGGUGAGAACCCGUUGUGGCAAAUUGUUGGGCCACACCAGUUGAGUCCCUCUCCCCACCGAGACUUUGUUGUGCCUCUCGUGUUCCACCCGUUGGAUCUAAAUGCGAGC
rnacentral:lncRNA from 1 species